AUGGAGUUACAGACCCAGGUCCUCAUAUCGCUGAUGCUUUGGGUGUCUGGUGCCUGUGCAGUCAUCGUGAUGACCCAGUCUCCAUCCUUCCUGGCUGUGUCAGCAGGAGAGAAGGUCACCAUUAGCUGCAAAUCCAGUCAGAGCCUUACUUUAGGAGGCUUAAACUUCUUGUCCUGGUACCAGCAGAAACCAGGGCAGUCCCCUAAGCUGCUGAUCUACUAUGCAUCCACUCGGCACACUGGGGUCCCUGAUCGCUUCACAGGCAGUGGAUCUGGCACAGAUUUCACUCUCUCAAUCAGCAGUGUGCAGGUUGAAGACCUGGCAGUUUAUUACUGUAUGCAUGAACUUGGAAGACAUAAAAGAGGCCAUCAAAUCACUUUAAGAAAUCUGGAAGCAGAUGUAGAUGUUUUUAACAUUAAACUGCUCUUAGAGCACAAGGAGAAUGACAAAGAUAAUCAAGAUACUUAG